GGUUAAGUGACUAAGCGUACACGGUGGAUGCCUUGGCAGUUGGAGGCGAUGAAGGACGUACUAACUUGCGAUAAGCCUAGUCAAGCCAGUAAGAGGCGCUUGAGACUAGGAUUUCCGAAUGGGGAAACCCACCUGCUUGCAGGUAUCGUUAACUGAAUACAUAGGUUAACGAGGCGAACGCGGAGAACUGAAACAUCUAAGUACCCGUAGGAAAAGAAAUCAACCGAGAUUCCGAAAGUAGCGGCGAGCGAAAUCGGAGCAGCCCUUAAGCUUUAGUGUAGUUAGUGGAAUAUGCUGGAAAGCAUGACGAAACAGGGUGAUAGUCCCGUACACAAAAACUUAUCUAAAGUGAAAUCGAGUAGGUCGGAGCACGUGAAACUUUGACUGAAUAUGGGGGGACCAUCCUCCAAGGCUAAAUACUCCCAACUGACCGAUAGUGAACCAGUACCGUGAGGGAAAGGCGAAAAGAACCCCUGUGAGGGGAGUGAAAUAGAACCUGAAACCGUGUACGUACAAGCAGUAGGAGCCUACUUGUUGGGUGACUGCGUACCUUUUGUAUAAUGGGUCAGCGACUUAUAUUCUGUAGCGAGGUUAACCAUUUAGGGGAGCCGUAGCGAAAGCGAGUCUUAACUGGGCGCUUAAGUUGCAGGGUAUAGACCCGAAACCCGGUGAUCUAGCCAUGGGCAGGUUGAAGGUUGAGUAACAUCAACUGGAGGACCGAACCCACUAACGUUGAAAAGUUAGGGGAUGACCUGUGGCUAGGAGUGAAAGGCUAAUCAAACCGGGAGAUAGCUGGUUCUCCCCGAAAUCUAUUUAGGUAGAGCCUCGGACGAAUACUUACGGGGGUAGAGCACUGUUAAGGCUAGGGGGUCAUCCCGACUUACCAACCCUUUGCAAACUCCGAAUACCGUAAAGUAAUAUCCGGGAGACACACGGCGGGUGCUAACGUCCGUCGUGGAGAGGGAAACAACCCAGACCGUCAGCUAAGGUCCCAAAGUGUAUGUUAAGUGGGAAACGAUGUGGGAAGGCUAAAACAGCUAGGAGGUUGGCUUAGAAGCAGCCACCCUUUAAAGAAAGCGUAAUAGCUCACUAGUCGAGUCGGCCUGCGCGGAAGAUGUAACGGGGCUAAACAUACCACCGAAGCUACGGCUGCGUAGCGGGGUAGGGGAGCGUUCUGUAAGUGGCUGAAGGUGUGCCGGGAGGCAUGCUGGACAUAUCAGAAGUGCGAAUGCUGACAUGAGUAACGACAAGAGGAGUGAAAAACUCCUCCGCCGGAAGACCAAGGGUUCCUAUCCCAUGUUAAUCAGGGUAGGGUGAGUCGACCCCUAAGGCGAGGCUGAAGAGCGUAGUCGAUGGGAAACGGGUUAAUAUUCCCGUACUCGGUAUGAAUGCGAUGGGGGGACGGAGCAGGCUAGGCAAGCAUGGCGUUGGUUGUCCAUGUGAAAGGCUGUAGGCUGGUGACUUAGGAAAAUCCGGGUUGCCAAGGCUGAGAGUCGAGACGAGCCACUAAGGUGGUGAAGUUGUUGAUGCCCUACUUCCAGGAAAAGCCUCUAAGCUUCAGUUCAUACUGAAUCGUACCCUAAACCGACACAGGUGGUCAGGUAGAGAAUACUAAGGCGCUUGAGAGAACUCGGGUGAAGGAACUAGGCAAAAUUGUACCGUAACUUCGGGAGAAGGUACGCUCUUGUUUGUGAAGGACUUGCUCUGUAAGCAAACGAGAGCCGCAGUGACCAGGUGGCUGGGACUGUUUAUUAAAAACACAGCACUGUGCAAAAUCGUAAGAUGACGUAUACGGUGUGACACCUGCCCGGUGCCGGAAGGUUAAUUGAUGGGGUUAGCUUAGGCGAAGCUCUUGAUCGAAGCCCCGGUAAACGGCGGCCGUAACUAUAACGGUCCUAAGGUAGCGAAAUUCCUUGUCGGGUAAGUUCCGACCUGCACGAAUGGUGUAACCAUGGCCACGCUGUCUCCACCCGAGACUCAGUGAAAUUGAAAUCGCAGUGAAGAUGCUGUGUACCCGCGGCUAGACGGAAAGACCCCGUGAACCUUUACUACAGCUUGGCACUGAACAUUGACCCUACAUGUGUAGGAUAGGUGGGAGGCUUUGAAGCAGGAACGCUAGUUUCUGUGGAGCCGACCUUGAAAUACCACCCUUGUAGUGUUGAUGUUCUAACUUAGGCCCCUGAAUCGGGGUUGAGGACAGUGCCUGGUGGGUAGUUUGACUGGGGCGGUCUCCUCCCAAAGAGUAACGGAGGAGCACGAAGGUUUGCUAAGUACGGUCGGACAUCGUACGGUUAGUGUAAUGGUAGAAGCAAGCUUAACUGCGAGACAGACACGUCGAGCAGGUACGAAAGUAGGUCAUAGUGAUCCGGUGGUUCUGAAUGGAAGGGCCAUCGCUCAACGGAUAAAAGGUACUCCGGGGAUAACAGGCUGAUACCGCCCAAGAGUUCAUAUCGACGGCGGUGUUUGGCACCUCGAUGUCGGCUCAUCACAUCCUGGGGCUGAAGUCGGUCCCAAGGGUAUGGCUGUUCGCCAUUUAAAGUGGUACGCGAGCUGGGUUUAGAACGUCGUGAGACAGUUCGGUCCCUAUCUGCCGUGGGCGUUUGAGAAUUGAGAGGGGCUGCUCCUAGUACGAGAGGACCGGAGUGGACGAACCGCUGGUGUUCGGGUUGUGAUGCCAAUUGCAUUGCCCGGUAGCUACGUUCGGAACUGAUAACCGCUGAAAGCAUCUAAGCGGGAAGCAGGCCUCGAGAUGAGUUCUCACUUUGACUUAGAGUCAACUGAAGGGCCGUUGAAGACUACAACGUUGAUAGGCGAGAUGUGGAAGUGCUGUGAGGCAUUAAGCUAACUCGUACUAAUUACCCGAGAGGCUUAACCAU
rnacentral:rRNA from 1 species